UGCCUACGGGGGGCAGCAGUGGGGGAUAUUGCACAAUGGGGGAAACCCUGAUGCAGCGACGCCGCGUGUGGGAAGACGGUCCUCUGGAUUGUAAACCACUGUCCCCAGGGACGAAGAUGACGGUACCUGACUAAGAAGCCCCGGCUAACUACGUGCCAGCAGCCGCGGUAAUACGUAGGGGGCAAGCGUUAUCCGGAUUUACUGGGUGUAAAGGGAGCGUAGACGGUAGAGCAAGUCUGAAGUGAAAGCCCGCGGCUCAACUGCGGGACUGCUUUGGAAACUGUUCAACUGGAGUGCUGGGGAGG
rnacentral:rRNA from 1 species